UACCGGGCGACCGGAUGCGGAUCUCGAAAGCCUGUCCCAGUUCGGACUGGAGUCUGCAACCCGACUCCACGAAGUUGGAUUCGCUAGUAAUCGCGCAUCAGCCAUGGCGCGGUGAAUACGUUCCCGGGCCUUGUACACACCGCCCGUCAAGCCAUGGGAGCCGGGGGCGCCUGAAGUCCGGGACCGCGAGGACCGGCCUAGGGCGAAACUGGUAACUGGGGCUAAGUCGUAACAAGGUACC
rnacentral:rRNA from 1 species